GAUUACAAAGAAAUAUGCUGUGAUAGAAAUAUACAGUGUUUCUGUUUUGUUUUUUUGACAACUUUUAAGAAGUUAAUAGGAAAGUUGUAAACACAAUCUUUGCCAUCUUUCCUUGACAGAAGAAUAAAAUCAUGUUGUACUGCAUGCAUGUCCCUCCUCAGACAUUGUGAAACAGUAAAGAUUGCGCUUAGGAUCUUGCCACUAGCAGUUUCCUUGACUCUGCUUUAUUUUCUAAAUCCUAUUUCCAGCAUAUCUAAGGUUAUGUAUGAUGGCAUAUCAAGGGUAAUUUUCAUUAUAAACGGUAAUACAUGUUGGCCACCCAAAAAAACAUAACAGCAGCUAUGAUCAGUCUUUCCAACAGAAUUCAGUAAUCCAAAGUAUUAAAUAUGGAAUUAAGUUGGUUAUUAUAGGUCUGCAUGACAUCUUUGGGCAGAGAAUAUUGAAAUGAAGUGGAAAUACUGAAUGGGCACAUUGUGCUGGCUAGGAAUGCUUCAGUAAAGUGACUUGAACAAGGUAAACUGUUUUCAGAAGAGGGAAUUUCCUGAUUACAGCAGACAGUUGCUUCCAUCCUUGUAUUUAGUGUCAGUUGUGACUGUGUGGUAAUCAGUGAUUGGAACAGAUAUUUAAUUUCUUAAACUGUUGAUUGAAUUGACAUGUUACUGCUUCCUGCAAAUAACAACAAAAAUAUAUUACGACUGUAUACAGUAUAUUAUAAUUAGUAUGAUUGGCUUUGCAACAGUGGAUUUGUAUUUCAAUAAACAGUAAAACCAAUGAGGUGUGCAAAAUAAGAAAGAAGUAUGAGAUGUGAGGUUCUUACUGCAUUGAAGAUUUCAGUGAUGGUCUUCUGGGUUUUAACAUCAUGUGGACUUGUAUGUAGAUACCAAGAUUUUAUUAUCUACCUACAAGUCCAUGUAGAAUUACAAUCUAGAAGACCAACAUCAACAACAAAUAAAUAUAUUUGAAAAUUGUUUAUGCUUUAGAUUAGAGCAUGUCUUUGCAUCCUCCUUAUUGAAGGCAUCAUGAAGGAACAAAAAGUUAAAUAAAACAAGGUUAUAUUCACAUGCAGAAAUGUAAGUGUAUUAUGUAAAGUGCUUGUUAUUUUCAUUCAGUUGUAUCCGAAAUCAAAACAAUUGAUAAAUUUGAAUAAAGCUAUCCAGUAUAAAAUUUAAUGAAAAAUCUGUUUAACAGUUCUCAUGUUGAUAAGUGUGACAGAUGGACAAAUAAACAUAGCAUAGCUAAUAGGCACAUUUUUGCAGCUUGUUAAUGUGCUUAAAAAGGAGAAAGAAGGAUUUAGAAACCUCUCUUUGACAUUAAAUUACUUAAGCCAUUGUGUGAAACAAACAGUACAUCUGAUAUCAGACAUAUAUUUUACCUCGUGGUUUCAGUCUAACACAAUUUAAAUAUUGUUUUAAAAAUGUGCUCAUUUCUGAAAUACAGGUAUUUCUUUGCAUAUUAGUUGUAUAUGUUUGAUUUUUAAACCAACUUAACAGAGCCACUGUGGAGUUUCUCAUAGGUUUUUUUAUAAAAUAAAAGUUUAAUUUUACAGAAAAUAUUAACAUAAUAUUAAUGACAGAAGUUAUGCUGAAAUGAUUAUAUUGUGGGGAAAAAAUAAGUACCAAGGAUAUUUAUCUAAAUUAAAUAAAGAAUAGUGAGAUAGGACAUGUAGCAUGCAUAAAAUGAUACAGAUACUUUUCUUAUCCAUAAAUUUAUUACUUAUAGGCCAUUGAACUACUUUUGAUAGAUUUUUGAUUGCAUGCACAUAAAUAAUAAACAUUUUCUUACCUCAAGUAAAGUAUGAUCGUACAAACUAUGUUUUCACCUUCUGCAAAUAUUGAUGUUCACUAUUAAUAAAGAACUGAAUGGUAUCUAGAAAUUCCUUUACAUUUUCAUUGCAUUCAUCUUAAACAAAGACACUGUUGUUUUAUUCAGACACAUGAAAGUAAGCAAGCACAAAAGCACAAGAAUAAGAUUAAAGGUGAAUGAUAAUAAUAACAAUAAUAAUCCUGUAAAAUUUUCCUGCUUUGUUGUUAAUGUUAUAUUUGAUAAAUUGAAAGUUCUAUAAAGAAAUUUGUUCCACAGUCACUUGUGUUACUGCUUAUUUUUUAUGUAUUCAGUUAAACUAGCUAGUAUUCAUGUGCACUGUAAGAGUGCUAAGAUCUGCUCAUUGCAGUAGUAUAACACUGCUACACCCACCAGCAAAAUUCCCUUCCCACUUUUGUCCACCUGUCUGCCAAUUCAGCAACUACCUGUACAGAUUUCACUACAUGUGUAGUAUUUCAAUUAUGUGUGAUUGGUAGUUAUGUUGCAUCACAUCACACUAAAUGGUACCAAUAGAAUUGUGUAUCAGCCUUUAAUUUAGUCCUACAUUUCUGCUUCUUUUUCUUAUAAGGCCUUAUUAUUCUGAAACCACUUCCAUUUGUAGACAUGGGUAAGUUGGUGCUUUAAUUACAUAACUUAUUUUAAAAUUGCCAUUUCCAGUUAUCUGUUUAAGGUAAACCACAUACACACACACACACACACACAUACAUAUAAAAGAGUUUAAUUCAUAAAACAUUGUUAGCAAAUAAAUCUGAAAUACCAGACUUAUUUGACCAGCGUGCUUCCCAUUUUCAGUUAUUUCGCUAUUAAUUCGUCACUGAAAUGAAUGUUCUUUCUGUGUGUGAUACAGAAUUUGCACUUCUUGCCUUAACUGUGUUUGAACCCAGCCUAUUUUGUCCACACUGUUUACAUCUGCUUGGAGACUGGUUAUAUGUGGUUUUCCUCAGUCCUACAGACAAGUGAUAGAAUAGCACCUUCAUACAGACCAUGAAUGCUUUCACAUUUUUCCAAAUUCAUUAUAAUCAAUAAUCAUAUAAUUCAGUGCUACAUAAACUAUACAGUUUGAAAAAUUGUUGUUAAAUAAAAAAAUUCUGUGUGCAUAAGCUGUAGUGUCGGCAAGAAAGAGUUUAUGUUCAUUUGGCUGUCCCACAUUAAUAGUUUUUUUAACCAUUUGGCUGAUUUUUAUUAACAUUUAUUGACAAUAGUGCUUCCUCAGAAAUUGAUGGUCAUUCAGCUGGUCAAGGAAUUUCCAGACUAUUAUGGUUCCCUAAGAUUGAUUUACAGAGGUCCUGUACUAGACCCUAACCUGAGCCAGUUUAAUUCAUUUCAAACCACCAUGCCCCAUUUCUUUAAGAUUAAUUUUAAUGCUACCUUUCCUCUCAGAUUCCUUUCAAUUCAAUAUCAUUAAUAAACCUAUCAUUUAAUAUUAUAUAAUCUGAGUUACUGGCAACAUUGUUAAACCACAAAUACAAAUGUAAAUAAAUAUGAUAUGUUGUGCACAUUA